rnacentral:lncRNA from 10 species
CUUGAGCCCAGGCGGAGGAGGAUCACUUGAGCCCAGGCGGUGGAGGCUGCAGUGAGCCAUGAGCGCACCACUGCACUCAAGCCUGGGUGACAGAGCGAGACCUUGUCUCAAAAAAAUAAAAAAUAACACACACGAAAAAGAAAAAGAGUGGAGAGAGUAUUUCCAGCAGAAGGAACAGCAUGGGCAAAAGCCCUAUGAUGGGAAUAGCUUGGCCUCUGUAAAAAGCCAGUGGGACUGGAGUAGAGGGAGCUACAGGAGGUGUUAAGAGGACGGUUCAGGGCCGGAGCAUGCAGGAGCACAUAUGGCCAUGAUUGGGAGUUAAAGUUUUCCUUCUCUUCUGUCGGAUAAAAAUCCAACAGGAAAAUUUAACCUGGGAGGCCAGGUCAUCUGAUUUAUUUAAGUCAAAUACUUCGACCCCUCACUGACCCUUUCCUUUAUGGGGGCCACUGCAGCAGCUCAGGUAAGAGGUGACAGUGACCUGGGAUAGAGUGGGACCCGAGAAGCUGGAAAGAAGGGGAUGGACUCAGCAUAUAUGAAUAUUUUCACAGGGCAGCUGAAAGGACUUGCAGAUUGACUGGAUGUGGGGGGAAGGAAGGAAUUUUAGGAUGGCCCCCAGGCUUCCUGCCUUGAAAGUCACUAUCUGUGUCACAGAAAUGAAAGCAGGGGUGUUCACCAAUUCAACACGUUUAUUGGGCACUGAGCUAUAUGUAGGAAAUUGUGCCAAAGAUGUGCUGACUUAAGUUUCCCCAAAUGCCCGACCCAUGGAUGCUGUAAAGAAAUGCUGAUGCUGGGCGUGGUGGCUCAUGCCUGUAAUCCCAGCACUUUGGGAGGCUGAAGCGGGAACAUCGCUUGAGCCCAGGAGUUGGAGACCAGCCUGGGCAACAUGGCGAAAUUUCGUCUCUACAAACAAACAAACUAAAACAAAAAAUUAGCCGGGUGUGGUGGCACGAACCUGUAGUCCCAGCUACUUGGAGGCCAAGGUGGGAGGAUUGCUUGAGGUUGAGGCUGCAGUGACCUGUGAUCACAUCACUGUACUUCAGCUUGGAUGACAGAGUGAGACCCUGUCAAAAAAAAAGACAAAAGAAAGAAAGAAAGAGAGAGAGAGAAAGAAAGAAAGAAAGAAAGAAAGAAAGAAAGAAAGAAAGAAAGAAAGAAAAAGGAAGGAAGGAAGAAAGAAAGAAAGAAAGAGAAAGAAAGAAAGAAAAAGAAAGAAAGGAAGGAAGGAAGGAAGGAAGGAAGGAAGAAAGAAAGAAAGAAAGAAAGAAAGAAAGAAAGAAAGAAAGAAAGAAAGAAAGAAAGAAAGAGAAAGAAAACACUGAUAAACGAGCCUGAAGACUAGCUCCUUACCAUGGCCCUGGCCUUAGCAGCUCUGCGAUCCUAGGCGGGUGAGCCAAUGUCCCUUAAUUUACCCAUAGAGGGGCAAUUGUAACAGUCCUUUGUGUUCCCACUGAGUGCUAAGGGGAAAGAUACAAAUUACAUGUAGGAAAGAAUUCUUUCAAGUUAAAAGCCCAUAUGUGUUAUUAGACCUAACAUAUUUAAUAUCUAUGUACUGUUCAGCCUUUGGAAGUAUUAGUUAUUACAAAGCCCAAUCUGUCUUAAAUCAUGAAAUGACCAUUUUACAAAACCAAUAAUAGGAAGAUGCUAAAAUGUGGGUCUCACCCUGUCAUUCCCUUGCUUAAAGCCCUUUAGUGGAUUACUGUGGUAGACAAAAUAAUGGUCCCCCCAAAGGUGUUUACACUCUAUUUCCUUGUAACUGUGAAUGUUAUAUUACAUGGCAAAGGGUAGAAUUAAGGCUGCAGAUGGAAUUAAAGUUGCUAAUUAGCUGAUCUUUUUUUUUUUUUUUUUUUUGAGACAAAGUCUCACUCUGUCGCCCAGGCUGGAGUGCAAUGGUGCAAUCUCGGCUCAGUGCAACCUCUGCUUCCCAGGUUCAAGCUAUUCUCCUGCCUCAGCCUCAAGAGCAGCUGGGACUACAGGUGCCCACCCAUGCCUGGCUAAUUUUUGUAUUUUUAGUAGAGAAGGGGUUUCACCGUGUUGGCCAGGCUGGUCCUGAACUCCUGACCUCAAGUGAUCCACCCACCUUGGCCCCCCAAAAUGCUGGGAUUACAGGCGUGAGCCACCGCGCCCAGCCAGCUGAUCUUGAGAUGGGGAGAUUAUGAUGGAUUAUUCAGAGGGGCCCAACAUAAUCACAAGUGUCAUUAUUAGUGAAAGAGGGAGGCAGGAGAGUAGGAAUCAGAGGGGAUGAGAUGACGGAAGCAGAAGUCGGAGUGGUGUAAUUGCUGGGUUUGCAGAUCGAAGGGGGCCCACAGCCAAGGGAUGCAAGUGGAAAAGGCAAGGAAACAGAUUAUCCUAGAGUUUACGAAAGAAACUCAACCCUGCCGUCACCUUCAUUUUAGCCCAGUGAGACCCAUUUCACAUCUCUGACCUCAAGAACUCUAAGAUACUACAUUUGUGUUGUUUUAAGUCACUUUGUUUGUUGUGAUUACAAGCAGCAACAGGAAAUUCAUACACUCACCAACACCUUUAGGAAAAUGUCCAACCUGCUUAGCAUGGCACACAAGGAGGCCUUGUGGGAUGUGGUUUCUGCCACUGACUUUGAGCAAGUUUUUAAAUUUCUCUGGGCCUCAGUUUCAUCAUCUAUGAAAUAGGGAGGAAAAAAAACCCUCUGUAGGUCUGUAGUAAGAAUAAAUGAGAGGACAUGUUUCAAAUACCUAGUAGAAAGACUGGAACACAGUACAUUAUUAUUAUUAUUACCAUUGGCAUUACUAUUAUCAUGGAACAGUUGACAGAGUAGGAACCCUUGUCUCUACUCCCUUCAUUAGGGCUAUGUUUCCACAUCUGUGAAAAAGGAAACAAGACCAAACAGGUUUGGAAACCUCGUCUCUCCCCUCUACUCCACUCUUUCCUAGUUACUGAUCCGUGUCAUGCUUUGCUUUCUCUGACUUCCAACUUCGCCUAAUGCUCUUCUUUCUGCCUGGAAUGCUCUUCCCAUCCUCCUUACCAAGCUAACUCUCAUUUCCUCCUGGAAGUCUUUACUGACUCCUAUUAGACUUGUUUAGAUCCUACUAUUAUGCAUUCAAAAAGAAUGCUAAACUUCCUCUAUCAUAUUAUUGUUAUGGCCUGUGUGUUUUUCAUUGGGGAAAAAAAUCUUAAAUCCAGGUAAGGAUAUUUUGAUCUAUUUGCUUCCAUUGUGUUGUUUAAAUAAAACAAAAACAUUCUAAAUAAACUUGAAGUAGUUAAGUUCCCUUUUCUCUCCCCACUUCCUUCACUCUCUCCCCAACUAGUAUCAUAAAUUUAGUGCAUAUGUUUUGACACGCAGGGAUACUCACCACUAUACUCACGAGGAUUGGCUAUGGUGCAUAUCUUUUGAGUCUGUGUUUUUAAACUCUUACUACCUAUACAUACAAAAUAAUAUGAAAUAUACUUUUAUAUGUGUUUAUAAUUAACACAAAUGGUAACCUUUAAAAAACAUUUCUCAUUCUACAACUUUCUUUUAUUCACUCAAUAGGUUUUGGGGAUAUGUACAUACUGAUAUAAAUCUGGAUCAUUCUUA